CAAUGUACAUAUUUAUUACUUCCGAAUUUUUUUACGAGAAAAAUAUUUUGGAGUUUUUUUUUGUCUCGGAAAUUUUAUUGCGUUUAUACUUUCUUAGGUAAUUGGAAAAGAGCAAAUCUGUACAACACAGCAAUAUAAUAAACUAAUUGCUACUUUGCUUGUGGUUUUCGUAUACAUAUGCAAAUAAUUCCAAUUAUGUGCUAACGUUACUGAAUUGAAUCUCGGAGAACUAUAAGCGACUUGAAAGAUAUAGAAUAAAGGCGAACAAUUAUGGAUAUCGCAAAUCGUCGGUGUAGGAAUAAAAUAGCGAUGUAAUGUAAAAUUAAAAAUGAAAAAAAACUUGAAUCUAAUACUCGAGAACUUGAGAAACUUGAAAUUUAAAACAUACAAUAGAAUUGUCAAUUGAGUUGCACGAAGGAAACACUAGUAGUACUACUAUGUGUAUGACACGAGAAAGUUGGAUGGUGAUUGUUGCGACACUCGGAAGCAAUUUCUAUGAGCGUGAAAGCUCUGAUUUUUACUAGAUUAAAAAGUUAAAAACUUCUUAUCUGUAUCGGUGAGUGUAACUAAUCUUAUCGGUAUAGUGAGUAUAAAGUGACGAGUAAAGUUUACUUUGAAGUUUAUAAAACGACGUAUAAAGUUUACUUUAACGAUCACUUUGGCAAUCAUUUCAACAAGCACAUUCUAAGAGAACAAUGGAAGAUUUAAUUGUUGAAGAGAAAUCGAAAGUAAAAUUGGAAGAUUUAAGUAUUGUAGCGUUGAAAAGGUUGCUGCGCAAUUGAGAAUUGAAUACAAAUGGUGAUAGGGAAACUCUCAUAUCCAGAUUACGUAAAUUCAUGACAGAAAGGAUAGGAGGACAGGAAGGACAGAAAAUUGUGGUUGAAGACAACUCAAAUGGCAGAAAGGUUAAUUCCGAAACAAGAAAAGAAGAGCUAAAGUUGGUGCAGCUCAACGACAUGAAAUGUCAGGCGUUAUUACAAGAGAAAUUAAACAUUAUAUGUGAAAAGGCAAAGUUAAAAUUAGAAUUGGACGAAAUAAAACGUGAAAACGAGUCUCUACAAUUUCAUAUCAAGAUACAAGAAAAUGUGUCUUUGCAACUCAGAGCGGAGCUCGACUCUGUAAAACGCAAGAUAAAAUCGAACGAGUUAUUAGGACCGGAAGCAAAAGAUUAUAUUAAACAAUAUUUAACUGAAGAAAAUGAUAAUAUGACAAUGUCAUUAUGUGAGAAAAUUAACAACCUAAUACGUGAAAAGUUAGUUGCAAAGUUAAAAUUAGAAAUUGGCGAAAUUAAAUUUUGAAAAGUAGUUUCUGCAAUAAGAGCUCAACUCUGUAAAACGCGCGUAAUCUGAAUCUGGAUUACAUGGUACAUCUGACCACAGAAUACAACGAAGAAAAAAAGAAAUUCUCAUUAUCAUCAUGCAGCAGGAUCCAGAUCGCAACAAAGCAAAAUAAUUCGAAUUUAAUAAGAAAACAAUAUAUUUGAUUUUUUAGAGUUGAAUCCUAUGAAUCAACUUCAUAGGAUAGUUGUAAAAUUUGACUUAAUUUUACUUAUUGCAUAUUACGUAUCAAUACAAUAUCGUCUGGAUCAACAUAAUUAUUUAGUGUAAAGCAUAGUAAAAUGUAUAUUUUGUUUUAUUUGUAACAAUGAUUUAUAUAACAUUUGAAAUGUAAUACAGAAAUAAACGUGUCAAAUAAAUAGUUGCAUUAUCCGGAAGUCGAUGU